UAGGGAAUCUUCGGCAAUGGACGAAAGUCUGACCGAGCAACGCCGCGUGAGUGAAGAAGGUUUUCGGAUCGUAAAACUCUGUUGUUAGAGAAGAACAAGGACGUUAGUAACUGAACGUCCCCUGACGGUAUCUAACCAGAAAGCCACGGCUAACUACGUGCCAGCAGCCGCGGUAAUACGUAGGUGGCAAGCGUUGUCCGGAUUUAUUGGGCGUAAAGCGAGCGCAGGCGGUUUCUUAAGUCUGAUGUGAAAGCCCCCGGCUCAACCGGGGAGGGUCAUUGGAAACUGGGAGACUUGAGUGCAGAAGAGGAGAGUGGAAUUCCAUGUGUAGCGGUGAAAUGCGUAGAGAUAUGGAGGAACACCAGUGGCGAAGGCGGCUCUCUGGUCUGUAACUGACGCUGAGGCUCGAAAGGGUGGGGAGCAAACAGG
rnacentral:rRNA from 1 species